GUACACACCGCCCGUCACACCAUGAGAGUCGGGAACACCCGAAGUCCGUAGCCUAACAGCAAUGGGGCGCGGCCGAAGGUGGGUUCGAUAAUUGGGGUGAAGUCGUAACAAGGUACC
rnacentral:rRNA from 1 species